ensembl:lncRNA
AUGAUCAGAGUCCUGCUGCUCCUGCUGGCCGCAACCGGGCCAUUCUGCAACGUCGCACGCGCCAGUACGUUAGUGGUGCCCACAGCGGCUGAUGUAAGUUCAGUUACCGACGCUGCCGAGGCGGCGGCUGAGGAGAACCCGGCCGUGACCGAGGCCGCGGCGCCUGAGGCCACCGUUGCGCCUGAUGCUGAUGCAGAAACAGAAACGGAAGUCGCCACAAUUAUGCCGGGAGACUCGGACGCCAUUACAGAUGCACCCGGCAUCGCAGACGAAGCUCCCGCUACUACUCCAGAGGUUCCAGUGGGUGCACCAGAAGCUCCGACGGCUGAACCAGAGGCUCCUGCUGCUGAGACGGAAGCCCCUGCCCGAGUAAAUGAGGAGACCCCAACUCCUGGAGAUCAGACACCAUCAGAGGCCACGAACGAAUCGCAGCCUGAAGAAACAGACAUUAUCAAGUCAGUGGUAGGGCACGAGGUCGAGUCGGCUCCGCCGGAGGAGGAAGGAAUUGUGGUGGAAGAUGGCUACUCUUCAGGCAUGCUGGUGGGCAUUGUGAUUGGGGCACUGAUCGCCGUGGCUGUGGUCAUCGCUGUAGUGGUGGUGGUGGUCCGGAGAAUGGGCCAGUACUCGUAAGUAUUGCUUCGACCGUCGUUGGGCACCUCGCUGGGACGAAAAAAAAACCCGACAAACACCCGAGUGCCUUUUGAAGGUAUAGGGCUCUGUUUACAGCCUGGCCCUAAGCGCAGCGGUAUGCGCAGAACGUGGGGCUUGCUCCCUAUUGUAGGAUCCAAGACGAACAAAGAAACGCGGAUUGCACAUUAAAAAAUUGAUGUGGGCUGGUUUAAAACAGCAAGACUGAGGGAGUAUUGUGUCAACCUUCAGGCUCUUCUCAUUUGAAACUGCGUUCAGAACAUCGUUCAAGAUCGUGUUCUGGGCGACAGGAGGGGUGGUUCACAUUUACGGCAUUUAACAGAUGCCCUUGUCCAGAGCGACGUACAAUCAGCAGUUACAGGGACAGUCACACAGGGCCUGCUCAGUGCCGCAAUUACCUCAUUUCCGGUGUGCAUUUCCACUAGACAGGAGCUCAGCGGGAGCCGCAUAAUAAUACGUCACAGGCGUCCUCAGGAUUUGACAUCCGGAUCCAUUACAUCAAAACUUUAAGUUCACUUUUUACAUUUUUGUUGAAUUUAGAGGAGCUUUAAUUUCUUGAGCGCUCCACGUUAUUGAACUUUCUCUUCUAAAGCUACACAUAACUCUGCCAACCGCUCACAAUGUCACAAUGAGACCAGCAAAGUUUAGGGGCCGGUUUGGUGAUAGUUUUUUUUCUGCGCGGCCCUGGUUACAAAAUUGGGAACUGGCACGGGACCCAGAUCAGCGGAAAGGGGCUAAAUGGUGGUAAAUGGGGUUUGAACCUGUACGUUUGUGGUCUUCUGGUUUACUAGGCUACUACCACCCUAAAAAGCUUUACAAGCCUUCCCUGACUGGGUAUUGAACCCAGGUUGUUUUCAUUCUUCAAGAUACAGAUAACUACUUACCAGUUUUUUCUCGUUUUAUCUUUUGAUGUCAAAUCCUAAGGUCGCCUUUGACUUUAUGCUAGCUAAAAAGCCCAAUGCUUGCUGCAUUAUGCUGUGCCUAGCACCAGUUUGAAAAUAGUGAUCAUAUAUAAAAAAAAAGGGUAAUGAAGUGGUUGGCCCUGCCAUCAAAACAAAGUGCCAAAAACGAAUUUAAUCCAUGGAGCAUUAUCAAAAGUGAACAAUUAAAUUCAGAUGACUAACAUGGCUGGAAGAAUAUCCUCUUCAGAACAUUUUAUUGUUUUCACUGCUGAGGUUCCAAGCAUGUUCUGGAUCAAAUGCAUGGCUAAUGGAAUCUCUUUCUUGUGUCACAGGAAUGCUAAGAAAAGAAAACCUCAAAAACCAGAGAGCGUAAUUCAUUCCUUGAUUUUGUCGUCCCCCCCCCCCCCCCCCCCCCCCCUUUUUUUUUUUUUUUUUGGUCAAUUUAACGCCAUGGUGUUACAGCAUCCAGCAACUUGACAGGCAAUAGGGUUGCUACUCCUACCGAUUGACGUGAGAACUGUGUAUUUGUGGUGGACUCUUCAGUGCAGAUUGGGUCAUCUCUCACUUAGAGACCAACUUCUCUGUUGGAAUGGAGUGGCAACCUCACCCUGUCUUGUUGGAUGAGUUAUCCUGGGUAACUAACAGAAAAAAAGUGACAGACGAGGCGAAAUAAUGACUCUGAACUUGUUAAUAUAUAUAUUUUUUUUUGUGUGUGAUUAUAUUCAGAUUCUACCUAACCAAUCAUAACUCUGCAUUUCAGUCCAGCAUCUUCCUUCUGUUUGUCUACCUCAAAUAUAACUUGACCUUUUCCCCCUAAUCAGUGUUCUUUAGAGGUGCUGUAACACUUUGUAACUUUGGUUCAAAUGUAAUCUUGUUGUACAACUGUAAGCAGCAGGUAGUGUGUCAGUCAUGUAAGUAGAAGAUUUCUGUACAUGAGAAGUCCUGUUGAGCUUGAUUGUGGGUUAAUAAAUGUGUAGAUAAUGUAUGUUAAUAAUGUGUG